GAUGAACGCUGGCGGCGUGCCUAAUACAUGCAAGUCGAGCGAAUGGAUUAAGAGCUUGCUCUUAUGAAGUUAGCGGCGGACGGGUGAGUAACACGUGGGUAACCUGCCCAUAAGACUGGGAUAACUCCGGGAAACCGGGGCUAAUACCGGAUAACAUUUUGAACCGCAUGGGUCGAAAUUGAAAGGCGGCUUCGGCUGUCACUUAUGGAUGGACCCGCGUCGCAUUAGCUAGUUGGUGUGGUAACGGCUCACCAAGGCAACGAUGCGUAGCCGACCUGAGAGGGUGAUCGGCCACACUGGGACUGAGACACGGCCCAGACUCCUACGGGAGGCAGCAGUAGGGAAUCUUCCGCAAUGGACGAAAGUCUGACGGAGCAACGCCGCGUGAGUGAUGAAGGCUUUCGGGUCGUAAAACUCUGUUGUUAGGGAAGAACAAGUGCUAGUUGAAUAAGCUGGCACCUUGACGGUACCUAACCAGAAAGCCACGGCUAACUACGUGCCAGCAGCCGCCGUAA
rnacentral:rRNA from 1 species